CUCAGGGAACUCUGAAAAAGGAAAAACUACCAAAACCAAGAAGGACCCACCACACCUGUGGCCUCACACACUAAUAAGAUAGAAAGUGUAUUCCACAGUUAGUCUGCACCACUGGACACACAAAAAUCCAAUAAGGGUUACCUAAAGAGGUGAAGAGAUUAGGUAUAUUCUGGGGGCAGAGCUAACGGGCUUCAGGAGUGUUGACACAAAUGUUUGUUAUAUAGAAGUUCCCUUAUAAUUACUUCAUAAAUUGUAUGUCACUAUUUCAAGCACUUUUUUGUAUGUCUGUAAUAUUCAGGAAUUUCUUUUUAAAAAGAAAGAAAAACUCCUAGUUUACAAAUUCUUUAAAAUAAUCAUGUUGUAAAAUUCCUGAUUAGAAAAGACAUAUGCACCCCUAUGUUUAUUGCUGUACUGUUUGCAGUACCCAAGAUAUGGAAGCAAUCUAAGUAUCCAUCAACAGAAGAAUGAAUAAAAAAGAUGUGGUAUACAUACACAA